rnacentral:rRNA from 1 species
CCUACGGGUGGCAGCAGUGAGGAAUAUUGGGCAAUGGGGGCAAGCCUGACCCAGCCAUGCCGCGUGAGUGAAGAAGGUCUUCGGAUUGUAAAGCUCUUUGGGAGGGGACGAGGAUGAGAGUAGCGUCUAAAGAAGCACCGGCUAACACCGUGCCAGCAGCGGCGGUAAUACGAAGGGUGCGAGCGUUGUGCGGAGUUACUGGGCGUAAAGGGCGUGUAGGCGGAUAUGUAAGAUAGCGGUGAAAUGUCGGGGCUCAACCCCGGAACUGCCAUUAUGACUGUGUAUCUAGAGUAAUGGAGAGGAUAGCGGAAUACCCAGUGUAGAGGUGAAAUUCGUAGAUAUUGGGUAGAACACCGGUGGCGAAGGCGGCUAUCUGGCCAUUUACUGACGCUGAGGCUCGAAAGCAUGGGGAGCAAACAGGAUUAGAUACCCUUGUAGUC